UACGUGAGCUCCAAGCGUUACCCGGAAUUAUUGGGUGUAAAGGGUCCGUAGGUGGAUUCUUAAGUCAGGUAUGAAAGACCGAGGCUCAACCUCGCGUUUGUGCUUGAAACUGGGAAUCUGGAAUCAGGGAGAGGUUAGCGGGAUUCUAAGUGUAGGGGUGCAAUCCGUAGAUACUUAGAAGAACACCAAAAGCGAAGGCAGCUAACUGGAACUGUAUUGACACUGAGGGACGAAAGCGUGGGGAGCAAAAAGG
rnacentral:rRNA from 1 species